ACACGACUACAUUAGAUACCCGCGUAGUCCUAGCCGUAAACGAUACUCGCUAGGUGUCGGCCACGGUGCGACCGUUGUCGGUGCCGUAGGGAAGCCGUGAAGCGAGCCACCUGGGAAGUACGGCCGCAAGGCUGAAACUUAAAGGAAUUGGCGGGGGAGCACCACAACGGGUGGAGCUUGCGGUUUAAUUGGAUUCAGCGCCGGAAAUCUUACCGGGACCGACAGCAACAUGAAGGCCAGGCUGAAGACUUUGCCGGAUUAGCUG
rnacentral:rRNA from 1 species